rnacentral:rRNA from 1 species
UGCAGUCGAACGCGAAAGUCCCGCAAGGGAUGAGUAGAGUGGCAAACGGGUGAGUAACACGUGGGUGACCUGCCCUCGAGUGGGGGAUAACGUCCCGAAAGGGACGCUAAUACCGCAUGACAUCCCGCCUUUGAAGAGGUGGAGAUCAAAGCUGGGGAUCGCAAGACCUAGCGCUUGAAGAGGGGCCCGCGCCUGAUUAGCUAGUUGGUGGGGUAACGGCUCACCAAGGCAACGAUCAGUAUCCGGCCUGAGAGGGCGGACGGACACACUGGGACUGAGACACGGCCCAGACUCCUACGGGAGGCAGCAGUGGGGAAUUGUUCGCAAUGGGCGCAAGCCUGACGACGCAACGCCGCGUGGAGGAUGAAGACCUUCGGGUCGUAAACUCCUUUCGAUCGAGACGAAUGGCUUCCGGGUGAAUACCCUGGGAGAAUGACGGUACCGAGAGAAGAAGCCCCGGCUAACUCCGUGCCAGCAGCCGCGGUAAUACGGGGGGGGCAAGCGUUGUUCGGAAUUACUGGGCGUAAAGGGCUCGUAGGCGGCCAACUAAGUCAGACGUGAAAUCCCUCGGCUUAACCGGGGAACUGCGUCUGAUACUGGAUGGCUUGAGAUUGGGAGAGGGAUGCGGAAUCCCAGGUGUAGCGGUGAAAUGCGUAGAUAUCUGGAGGAACACCGGUGGCGAAAGCGACAUCCUGGACCAACACUGACGCUGAGGAGCGAAAGCCAGGGGAGCAAACGGGAUUAGAUACCCCGGCUAGUCCUGGCCCCUAAACGAUGAAUGCUUGGUGUGGCGAGGUAUCGAUCCCUGCCG